rnacentral:rRNA from 1 species
AAACUCUUUGUUUUUAGAACGUAUCUCUUCUGAGUGUUUAUAACAAACAAAUGAAUCAAAACUUUCAACAACGGAUCUCUUGGUUCUGGCAUCGAUGAAGAACGCAGCGAAAUGCGAUAAGUAAUGUGAAUUGCAGAAUUCAGUGAAUCAUCGAAUCUUUGAACGCACAUUGCGCCCGCUGGAAUUCCAGCGGGCAUGCCUGUUCGAGCGUCAUU